UCAAAACAAACCUCUCCUCCUUUAAGUUGUGGGUGUCAGGUAUUUGUCCCAGCAAGGAGAAGGUGACUAAGACAAGCAUCAUCAAGAAUGAGUCAUGACAAACUAUCACACCACAUUUUUCGACAUGCUGCAUCCUGGAGAGGACAGACUGCCUAAGAGGCCCCUCAUGUCAUCCUUGUAAACUUGGUGAAGCCACGUGGGCUAGAUGGCAAUACAACCGGGGAGACUCAUUGUUAGCUGACUAACUGAACUCACAAAGUAGAGCAUGAUAGAUCCAAGUCGCCCCGGGCGCUAUGGACUUUGUCCUCAGCCCAGCAAGUAAGACUUGGAUAUUGGUGCCUUGAAUGAAGUCACAGAGAGUAUUCCUACAGAAUCCCAUGCGUUGCCACACUGAGAUGGAUGCAGAUAUACCAUGGGCUGAGACACAACUGAAACAGACCUCCGUGGGUUUAUGACAAUAAACCAGCCACCCAGCAAUACAGGGGAGCCUUAGACUUCUUCAUGGCUUUCACAGCACUUUCUCGCUAGGCUAUUUUAUUUGGUCAUCAUCACCAGUAUAUACACCGGUGCAGCUUUGCACACCUACUUCAUGGUCCUUUCUCUAGCCCAUCUUGCUGAGGGGGAGCAAGAGUUUUCCCCCAGGUUCAAAACAUACAGCAUGGGAUAGAAUGUCCAUCGGAAAAGCAUUUUAGUUGAGCACAAACUCAAACAGCAUUAACUCGGUUCCUUUAAUCAAGGAUAAGGUGAAGAGAAAAGAAGGUGGCACUACAAUUACUCUCUGCUUUGUGGCUUUGCGUUUAGUUCCAGCUACCAUGUUGAAGAUCCCCUCUAAGACAAGAGUUAACCAGGUGUGAUGGCGCAGGCCUGUGAUAUUAGCACCCUGGGAGGCUGAGGCAGGAGGAUCACAAGUUCCAGCCCAGCCCAGACAACUUUGUGAUUUAGGGAAACCUUGCCUCAGAAUAUUAAUUAAUUAAUUAAUUAAUUAAUGGCUGGUGAUGUCGCUCAGUGUGAAGGCCCUGGGUUUAAUCCCUAGUACCAUAAAAAAAGAGCUCCCCCAAGAGAGGCUUAUUAGGACCGUGGAGAAUAUCACAUCCCCUGAAGAAGAUGGGAGAAGCUGGGACAUCUGCUUGUGUGAGAGAGACACCCUACCACGGCUGGCUUUGGUAUCAGAAGCACUCUCAUGAACAAGAUGAAUUCGCAGUGUUCUCUGUGGUUCCAGGGGAUGGAUGCAGGACUGACGCGUAUUCAGGGGGCAUCGUGUCAGCUCAACAGGCACAGAACCUCCUGGACUCGCAGCCCCCCUCAGAAACAGCAGGUCACCACAAAAACUGUGAGUGCCCCAGCUCUGAGCGUCCCGGCACAGCAGGAGCUGAGAGGGCUCCGAGGCACCAACCGCAUCCUCUGUCUGCUCGGCAGUGAGCACAAACUGAGGGCACUGUCCCCGGAGCAGGGGAGGCGGCUGUGGGCUAGAAGGCACCGUCCCACCGUCAGGGAACUUUGGGGACCAGUGAUUAGAAAGAGGCAGGGAGUGCUGAUGAACAUGAAAACUUCUGAUAAACACUAUUACCCCAACGGCCUGGUCCUCAGAACACAGAGGAACUGGAAAGGUAAUGAAAAUAACUGUCAGUGUGUAAGUGUACAACUAAAAGAAAGCAUGGAAUUUUCCCUAUUGGCAUGGGAUCUGGGUUUCUUAAACGAGCAAUUAGUCAAAUAGAAGAUGAUCUAUGAUCAAAGGACCUGUAGCCUCUGAAGUCACUGGGAUUCCAUCAGACAUGUCUGUGCCUUCCUGCAAAGUCCCUUUGGAGACAAACUCGAUGAGCUGAGGACUAGGACUCAGCAGGGUCUGGCAGAGCAAUAGGGGGAGCAAGAAUCAGUGGAAGCAAACAGGGAAGACUGGGAAUGUGGACGCGUGAACUUGAAAAUAAAUGCGUGUAAUAAAUACGCCCAAAACACACAAGGUCAGAGCCUACAGAACCACAUGACCCAAACUUCAGACUUUAAUAGGCAGAGCCCCACAGGAAGGAUCUCAGGUCUGCAGACACCCUCUGCCUCCUGCCAGGACUGCGGCCUUGAAAGCUGACCUGCUCUGGGAUUGGGUUGGGGACACCUCCAACCCACUCCACCGCCUGUUCUCCAGGUCCGCCCAUGAGACACAGAGCCCAAGUCCUUCCUGCUUCUCCUAUGCCACCUCCCACCUCAAGCACAGCCUUGUAAAACCUAUGCCCCUGUCCCCAGCCUUCAGAACAAAACACAUUCAGAAGACGAAAGCAGCUCUGCAGACGAUGAGAUGACCCCGGGCGCUGGUUCUCAUGUCUGCAGAAGCCCCGGGCACAGGAAGGUUGAUGGUUAGAGACUGCAAAGUGCCUGGGGUUGUGGCCUGGAAAAAGAGGCAGCUCUGGGGUUCUCUACACCUCCUGCCCUAGAUGGGUGUCUCCCAUCCUGUCCCAACAGCAAGGACACCGAAGAGCAGAAGCACCAUCCCUUCAGCCAGUAGAAGCUGAGGCACCAGGGUCCGGAGGAGGUGGGGAGUCUAUGGCAGUGGCUGCUAUGGCUCAGAUGAAAAAUGUUCCCCAAAGCCCCGUGUGUUUGGAAGCUCCUCCCUUGGCUCUUGCUUCCUGGACACCAUGAAGGGAGCAGCUGUCCUCUGCCCUGCGCCCUACCAUUCUGGGUCUUCUUCCAAGCUGGCCAAUCACAGACUGAAACAUGAGCCAAAAUAAACCUCUGCUCCUUUAAACUGUCAGGUCCUGCGUCUCAGUGAUAAGAAAAGUAACUGAGAGCGCGGGGUGGCCCUGAGCACCCUCCUGCUUCUGCCAUCCACAGGGGCGGGUGCACAGUAAAGACUGGCAGCUCUCAGAAAAGAGCCUGGCAGGGUUGGGUUGGCCAGGAUGUAGCGUGAGCCCUGAAAUCAAGGAAAACCAAGACGGACUGUGAACACCAGCAUUCUCCACCUUGUGGGUACCCAUCCACCUACUCUCUAAAACCCCAGAGAGAGCCCAAGUGAGGUCCUGGCUCUCCUACUGCUCCUGCUCCAUGUCACCAUGCACAGUAGCUGUGGCUCACCAGGAAAAACAAGACAUCUAUCCAAGGAGAGCAAAUGCUCUCUGUCUAUAUCAGGAAGCAGCAUUAAUAAGCAAAACAGAAAACAAAUUCAAAAUAUACAAUACAUAUCCGCAGAGAAGAGAAGAUAUUGGGAGUAGAAAGCAUGAACAGGCAGUUAUAAGGAAGAGCCAGGCGGAAACCUGGGUGUGAAGAACACUAUAGCUUUGUGCAAUGGGAACAGAGUCCAGUUUGGGAAGAUACACACGUUCUGGAGAUGGGUUGUGGGGAUGGUUGCACAAUAACAGGGGUGUACUUCAUGCUGCUGAACUGUACCCUUAAAGAGGCUUAAAAUGGUAAAUUUUAUGUUAUGCA